CCGCCGGAGGGAUUGGGCGUCCUGGGUCGCACCUCCCGGAGGUUGCCCAGCCCUGGGAUUGCACAGUCCCAUUUGCGCCUUCCCAGGGUUGCAGGAUCACCGGAUUGCAAGGUUCCUGGGUCGCACUUUCCCGGGGUCGCAGGGGCCUGGUGGCGUCCAUACUCCGAAGCGUGAGCGAGCGUCGCCAGGAGACGGGAGCUUGUGGGGGCUCAAGUGUCUCCCCCGCUGACCUGACGGCCUGGGCACCCGACUGGAAACGUCCCCAGCCAGCCACACGCGCACCCGCUGGCCGGGGAGGCGCCGUGCAGACCGCAGUGCAUGGCAGCAGGGAGCAUGUGUCAACUGAGAUGUCCCCCCUCAUCUGCUUGCCAGAAGCAAGUUGUUGCGCCUAGCCCCCAUCCGGUGGAAGGGAGGAGUGGCAGAGAUUCUGUGGCCAUGUUGUAGGAUCCCCACCCCGCUCAGCGGGCUGCUUUGGAUCAUCUUUGGGGCUAUUUUGUAAAUUUCUUUUGUACAGUGGGACAGCUACGAGCCACAUGUGGCCGUUGACUGCUUGAAAUGGGGCUGGUCCAAAGUGAAAUAAACUAUCAGCAUAAAACACGCAUCCCAUGUAGAAGACUUGCUAUGAAAGAGACGCAAACUCUCUCUUCACCCUUAAAGCCCUUGUUAGGUGUAGCAAUGACAGUAUGCUGUGCUCCUGGGGGAAGCGCCUCUCUGGGUCGAGCUUCUAGAUCCUGGGCUCCGAGUUCGGCACAAGGACUUGACCCUCACAGUGCCCUCCUGGCUGCCUCUCAGAGUCGGAGCCUUUCCCCAUCACGGUGAGGAGCCUCAGCAGGUAGGCCAGUCUCUCAGAAGGUUUUGCAUCUGUGUGUGGGGUUUGGAGGAACCACAGGUCAGGCUCUGAAGCAUUUCCUGGGGAGGGAACACUCCAGCAAGACAUGGGUGCUCUGGAAAGCACAGGGGGUGCAGAGGUAGCAGGGGCAGGGGUCCUGCGGGCACGAGACAGGGGUGGGGCAGUGUUUGCCUGAGCGUCUGGGCGGGGACACCUGGAGCCUUGGAUGGGGAUCACUAAGGAUGCCGGUGGUUUGAACUGUGCCCAAAAAGACAUGCUGAUGUCCUAACCCUCGGAACUAGGGAACGUGGCCUUACGUGGAAUAGUCUUUGCACGUGUAACCCAUUAAGAUAUGGUCAUGCCGGGGGAGGAUGGGCCAUGACCCCAUGUGACCAUGUCCUCAUAAGAAGAGGAGAGACAGACAGACAGACAGGGAGCAGAAGGUCAUGUGACAAUGGAGACAGAGACCAGGCUGUGUGUCUGUCCCUGUGUUUCUCUGUUUCUUAUAGGGACACCAGUCCCAUUGGAUUAGGGCCACCCCCUUCCAGUUUGACCUCAUCUUUAAUUACGUCUACCACCACCCUGUUUCCAAACAGGGCACCUCCUGAGGUGCUGCGGGUCUAGGUGUAAACAGAGCUUUUCCGGGGGUAGCACAGGUGAGCCCCUCACGUGCACCUAAAGCAGCCCCACCCCUCCUCCUCCAGUUCUGUGCUUCUCUUGGCAAGCGGCUGCCCCCCAGGGCAAAGGUCGAAGGUCAGGCAGGGCUGCGGAGAGGGGGGUGAAAUAGGAACCACCUCCCAGGUGAUUCCACAUAGGCUCCAUUUUUAGGCAUAAAGUAGGAGUUGGCAACACUACCACCAGGACCUGGUACCCUGCUUUCUCCUGGACUGCAGGCGACAUUUCCGGGAAUACAUCUGGCUUCUGAGCCCCUGAGCCUGGCGUGGAGCCGUGAGGGGGUUCUGGAGUCCGAUGGCCCCUGGGCCUGAGGCUGGCCUGGCCGCCCUGCCUGUGACCUGGGGAGUGACUGCCUCUCCACCCGGCGCCACCGGGGCCUUGAGGAGCUUCCAGCCCAGACACAGGACUGUUAUCAACGUCAUCAGAUACGAGCGAGUGCCGGCCUUCAAGUGGAAAGACUGCAAAGUGCAAUUUAAGUACAGCAAGCGGGAGGGGAAGCCACGCUUUCGGCAUCCCCCGUGUGGGGGCGACAAAGGCUGGAGAGACCCGUUUCGCCGUCUCCUUGUCAAACAGAGAAUAACAUCACGUUGGGACCAGUGUCCGAGGUUUCACUGAACUCAGACGGCAGACCAGACGGAACCCAGCUCUGACCUCCUGUCCAGCGCUGAGACGAUCACAGAAACGCACCCCUGGGAACCUGGCUUUGCGGGGGGGGGGCUGGACAGAGACGCUGAGUCACUGCAGUUCAAACGUUAGGAACACUUCCUCUUAAGGACGGCAUCCAGAUGGACACGUGUGUGGGUACCUGGCAUGACUCCCCGCCUAGUGGAGCUCACACCCUCCGGGGGAAGACGGGCAGGACUGACCGUCACAGGGCGAGGCGAGAAGCGGCGGGUCUGCUGUGAUGGGCAUCACUGGUGGAACCUACUCGGAUUUGUAGAAAACGGAAUUCCGCCCCUCCCGGUCUGUAAGUGAAUUGGCUGCCUUAGUUCAUCAGUGCACAGCGCUGGCCGACUCGGCUCAGAGAACCUCGGAGCCUCCGGCGGACGGGAAGCCAAGCCAGGAAAGGCCAGAGUCAGCAGGACCUGCUAACGGUGCAGGAGUGAGAACGAGGGAACCCAGGCCGCUGUUUCCGGACCCCGGGACCCGGUGAACGAGGGGAGGCAGGCGGCUGAGGGCGUGGGGCUGGGCUGGCUUCAGCACGUGCUGCUUUGAGAGGCCCGUGUGCUAGCCGAGACAUCAUCAGAGGCGGUGCCCGGUGUUCCUUUGGAAAUCACUGGUAUUAGUGAAAAUAGAGAUUCCACAGUGCAAGUCAGAACCAGGCCUUUUAACUCACUUCGAUUUGUUUUGUGCCCAUCUGACAAACUAUUUUAAGUAAAAUUAACGUUAUAGUAAAAUUAUGCAGGAAUCAAACUUUAAUGCACACGGUGCCCUGAAAAAUCAUUGAAAGUUUAAAAAUUAUUUCAGUAAAAAUAAAGCAAUCAUGUUUACAGAA